rnacentral:rRNA from 1 species
AGAGUUUGAUCCUGGCUCAGGAUGAACGCUGGCGGCGUGCUUAACACAUGCAAGUCGAACGAAGCAUUUGCGACAGAUUUUUUCGGAAUGAAGUUGCUUAUGACUGAGUGGCGGACGGGUGAGUAACGCGUGGGUAACCUGCCUUGUACUGGGGGAUAGCAGCUGGAAACGGCUGGUAAUACCGCAUAAGCGCACAAUGUUGCAUGACAUGGUGUGAAAAACUCCGGUGGUAUAAGAUGGACCCGCGUCUGAUUAGCUAGUUGGUGAGAUAACAGCCCACCAAGGCGACGAUCAGUAGCCGACCUGAGAGGGUGACCGGCCACAUUGGGACUGAGACACGGCCCAGACUCCUACGGGAGGCAGCAGUGGGGAAUAUUGCACAAUGGAGGAAACUCUGAUGCAGCGACGCCGCGUGAGUGAAGAAGUAAUUCGUUAUGUAAAGCUCUAUCAGCAGGGAAGAUAGUGACGGUACCUGACUAAGAAGCUCCGGCUAAAUACGUGCCAGCAGCCGCGGUAAUACGUAUGGAGCAAGCGUUAUCCGGAUUUACUGGGUGUAAAGGGAGUGUAGGUGGCCAGGCAAGUCAGAAGUGAAAGCCCGGGGCUCAACCCCGGGACUGCUUUUGAAACUGCAGGGCUAGAGUGCAGGAGGGGCAAGUGGAAUUCCUAGUGUAGCGGUGAAAUGCGUAGAUAUUAGGAGGAACACCAGUGGCGAAGGCGGCUUGCUGGACUGUAACUGACACUGAGGCUCGAAAGCGUGGGGAGCAAACAGGAUUAGAUACCCGCGUAGUCCUAGUGGUCA